GCCGGCAUAGCUCAGUUGGCAGAGCACUUCUUUUGUAAAGAAGAUGUCCGGGGUUCGAUCCCUCGUGCCGGCU
rnacentral:tRNA from 1 species